rnacentral:rRNA from 1 species
UACGGAGGAUGCGAGCGUUACCCGGAUUUAUUGGGUUUAAAGGGUGCGUAGGCGGUCCGUUAGGUCAGCGGUAAAAUUGCGGGGCUCAACCCCGUCGAGCCGUUGAAACUGUCAGACUUGAGUUGGCGAGAAGUACGCGGAAUGCGCGGUGUAGCGGUGAAAUGCAUAGAUAUCGCGCAGAACUCCGAUUGCGAAGGCAGCGUACCGGCGCCACACUGACGCUGAGGCACGAAAGCGUGGGGAUCGAACAGG